UUGUGGACUGUCGGAAUAGUUUGGUGUUGUGAUGCAUUAUAUUUGAAAUAUUUACAGAGAUUUCAAGAAAAUAGAAGUGUGAAACAAGUUAAAACCAUCUUUGAACCAAACUGAAGGAUUUAAAAAUUGAUAAAGAUUGCAAAAAUUGAGAUUCUAAAUUGCCGUCAUUUAUUAUGGCUUCCAUUAUUGCAUACAUAUGAAUAAAUGAGGCUAUCGCUUCUUCAGUGGGGACAGAAAGGCCCCCUCUUUCAACAGAAUGGGACCCAUAACCAGAAAUAUAAAUUUUAAUGGAAUCAUCUACAACACAAUCGGACAAGUAUUCGGUAUCGAAGAUUCCUGAGAAACAAGUCACAUCAGUGGGAAGAUCAUGAAGAUCGUUAUUAUUGUCAUCACAAAUUCGAAAUUUAUUUUUGAUUUCAGUAAGAGAAAACGAAUUUGCCGAUUUUGUAAAUAUAUGUUUUAAUCUAAUUUUUUUUUCUGCAUGAAUUAUUUCGUUAUAUGACACAUGAUAAUUACAACCAGAUAAAAGUCUAUAAUUUCCAAAUCGUUUUUCUAAUUUUUCGGUUGUAAAAUGGAGGGUACUACAUUCCUUAUAAGCCUUGGACAUCUCAACAAAACAUUCUCCAGUACACCAUUGGGCGAUAGAAUACCGUGGUACCUUUCAAUAUCAGUUUCUGCAAAAUGCAAACUACAGACGGCAGAAUAUUUUGAUGGUGUCCAAUUCUUACGAGGAAUAGCAACCCUCCAUUUCUCCCGCAAUUUCUCAUCU